UUCUUCUUACGAUUCUUUCCUUCGUUCUUUUGUUUUCUCUCUAAACAAUCAACACAAUCAGCUCCCCUGAAACUCAAUAGAUAUGAACCCUAACCCUUCCUUCUCCUUCCUGCUGCCGAUAUGCAUAACCCCAUCGUUCACGAUUCCCCAUCAACUCUCUGCGUCGACCAUUUGUCGUUCAUCACCAAAACAAAAGGCAUUGGUUACACGACUUGUUAAAGAGGAAACCGGAAAGACGACAUUAGCAAUCGGCGAUGGAGCUAACGAUGUCGGAAUGAUUCAAGAAGCCGACAUCGGAAUCGGAAUCAGUGGAGUUGAGGGAAUGCAGGCGACUAUGUCGAGCGACAUCUCAAUUGCUCAAUUCCAGUUUUUGGAACAAUUGCUAUUAGUCCAUGGACAUUGGUCUUACCGAAGAAUUUCUUCAAUGUUAAGAAUUCUGUAAAAAAAAAAAUCCCCAAAUUUGAUGCACAAGGGUCACCGGUCACGCGUUGAUGUGAAUUCACUGAGGAAGAUCCAUGGGUACCGUUGCAUUUUACAGGAUGCCACACUGCUUCAUUUUGGACUCCCUGUAUCCACCCACAAACACAGUUACCCUCUGCAUUAUCUGCCGAUUCUCAUUUGCUAAUCGCAAUUAUUCGUCGACAGUUUCAUCGGUUUGUAAUUCAUUCAUCUCCCUUCUCUUGCAUCACCAAUUUGCGAUCGUCGAAAACCUAAUCUUCCAUCAUCAACAAUUAACAACCGUCAGUUACAAUAAAGGCAGUUCCUGUUGUGUUUUUGUAAACUUCAUGUAUUCACAUCACCAAAAGAUGUAUAUAUUGAUGGUAUUUUUCGGAAAUUGAAGAGGCAUUUGAGUUUUCUGCGUAAUCAAAGUCACCGUCAAGAUUGGUUUAAGAUGUUGGGAUGAGUGAUGCAACUCAGUUGACUUGGGGACUUGUGAAUGACAUGUAUAAGAUGGAUCUAAUUUUGGUGCAUUCACCACAUCUGAUUGGAUUAGCAUGUAUUUAUGUAGCCAGUAUGCUCAAGGAGAUAGAGAACGAUGCUUGGUUUGAAGAUCUAAGAGUUGACAUGAAUAUGGGGUGAAGCUAAAUUAUUGACAAAAGAUUGGGAGGGAGCUAUUGUUGCUGAUAUAAAAUCCGUUGCAAAAAUAUCUCCUCGGAAUUUGGGUGUAGGAUUCAAAUAAGUCUGCUUCUCUGGCAUCUGUCCCUACUUCUUGCUCUGUAUGACUGUUGUUUGUCUUGUGUGUGCUCUCUAUGUGUGCAUGUGCUGUGUUCCAAAAUCAAGAACAACUAAUACUACAAAAAAAAUAUCAACAUAAAAAUACUAAAUUUUUGUUUGCUAACUCAUACACUAAUCUCCUCCCUUGGGUUCCAAAUGUUAACAUGACAGGUUGUAGUUAUGGUUUGUACCAAAGGCCAUUGCUUUUUAGAUCUCCUCACAAAGUCUAGGAGUUCAAUGAAGGUAUGUUGACUACAUCUUUUUUAUGACAAUUUUGUCUUUUGGUUUAGUCUCUACUCCUGCGCCUCAUGCGGUCUUGCCCCUCUCCGAUAGUAAGUAUCUCACAAUUUUAGCUACUUUUUCUAUCUCAUAACGUGCUUAAUCUGCUCUCUAGAUCUCUUUAUCUCAUUAUUAUGUGACUGGAGUGUAAAAAUCAUUUGCCUUUGUUACUGUGUCACCAUGCCUCUCACACUGUAAUUGUCGAAUUUGUUAAUAAUUGUUUUAUCUCAAUAGAACAAUGGAUUUUUUUUUAAAAAAGGAAAUCUGAUUGCUACUCUAUGUUAUCAUUCAUCAACCACAAUCGAUUUGUUUUAUCACUAGCUAAUUGUAAUUUAUUUGUUUUUAAAAAAAUUCUAAUUGACUCUGUCCCAAUUUUUAAUUUCAUGAUUAGAAUAAAGUUAGUGAGAGUGGUUCAUCCUGUAAGGUCACUGCCUCAAGUAUUAGAUAGUGCGCUUGAUGCACAUGUAUGGAAUAUAAAUUACAAGUAUCAACACUAAUUUAAUAAAAAAAUGUAUUUUAAAUGAUUUUAAUUAUAGUUAGGUGUUACUUUGGGGAUAACAGUUCUCUUGCCAAUGACAUCCGAAAAGAAAUGAAGGUAUUAAAUAGUAAAUUGUUGAAAGCUAAAGAUAAAAACACAAAGAGGGAAAUCCAUAAAAACAUAGGAUUAUUUCAAAAGAAGAAGGAAAAAGGCAACAACUUGUUGUGACAAAUGUAAUUAAAAAUUCAUUUGUCAUCCUAGCAACUCUCACAGGUUCAUCAUCAAGAAAAUUAGAUGGAAUUUCAUUUGAUUUAGUCAUUAUUGAUGAAGUUGCUUAGGCCUAGAGAUUGCUUGUUGGAUUGCUCUUUUCAAGGGUUCAAGGUGCUUACUUUCAGGGGAUCAUUUACAACUUCCUCCGACAAUUCGAAGUGUUGAAGCUGAAAAAAAGGGAUGAGGAAACACUCUUUUUAAACGCCAUGCAGAUUUAUAUGGAGAUGAUGUCAUGUCUAUGCUGACCGUGCAAUAUAGCAUGCAUGAACUUAUAAUGACUUGGUCUUCUAAAGAGCUUUACAACAAUAAGACUAAAGCUCAUGCAAGUGCUGUUGGACAUACCCUAUAUGAGCUUGUAGGUGUUGAGAAGUCUUCUUCUUCCACUGAACCUACUCUUCUUCUCAUAGACAUUGCAGGGUGAGAUAUGGAAGAAAAGAAGGAUGAAGAAGAAAGCAUAUUGAAUGAAGGUGAAGCUGAGAUUGCUAUAGCACAUGCAAGAAGGUUGAAUCAAAGUGGUGUACAUGCUUCUGAUAUUGGAGUCAUUACCCCUUACUCAACACAAGUAAAGUAGAAUUUCGUUUUGGUUUAAUGGAAUUAAGGAACAGAAUGGAAUCGUUUAUUCCAUUGGAAUGGAAAUAACUUCUUAGAUUGUGUUGCUAAGAGUGUUGAGAACAAAGGAUGACAAGUUAAAGAAGUCUUUUAUUGUUACACUUCAACUUGCAUUAACAAAGAGAUAUAUGUUGUUCCAAGCUUUUCAAUAGUUCUUUUAUAUAUAUUAUUAUAAUGUUCGGUUAAA